rnacentral:sRNA from 1 species
AUUACGACUCGGUAGGUGAGGCUACUACGCGGAUACGGAUUACUGCCGCAAAAUAGUGGAGACACUAUGAGCUGGUAUGAACAGUUGUGGUCGAUUAAGGCUUCAACGAAUGUAAUUUCAUCGCCUCGCAGAGUUAAAGCUCAAACGGGACUGCUU